AUCCUUUUGUGGUUCAUAAGCAUGAUGAUUGGGUUUGCAUGCUCAUGUGUGAGAUGUGCCUUCCUCAAACUUUGUUACGAUGUUGGCACAUUACCCAUCUGAUG
ensembl:snoRNA